CCGAGGCAUAAGCGAACCAAGCGGCUGCUUAGGGCCCCGCUGGCCACCAGGGGGCCCCCGCCCCAAUCGUUUUUUAAAUAUUUUUUUAUACAAUUAAAUAACUUAAACAGACAACUAUGUGUCUGCAGUGCUAGCGUUUUAGUCAGGCGCAACAUAGACACCUGCGCCACCUGCGCGUCGGUGCGCAAGUGCACGACGUCGUCACUCACUGUAAACAAUGAUGAGCCAUUUGACAUGUCACAAAAAAGGAUAUAUCCCUCUGGGGCCGAAAAGAGAACAAAGAAAAGGACCGAGGAUGAGAAAAAAAGAGCAAGAUAAAGGAACACUGUUGAAGUACUUUGGAGCACAACCAACUCUACCCGCCCCUGAUGUGUCAUCAAGUGUCAGUGCCUCCACAGCUAAUGAUGCAGCAGAUGAGGUUUUUCUUGUUGGCCAAUGUUAACAUUCCAUAGCCUGUUAAAAUGACAUGACACAUUGAAGAAUAAAGUAUUUUAUUUAAGUAUAGAUUUUUUUCAUUAUUUAACCUCACUGUAUUCAUUUAUAAUGUAACAUUAGAGCGUGACAUUUGUGUCCGCGUGGUGGGAGGGGGGCCCCCAAACACAUUCUGCUUAGGGCCCCCAAGAGGCUCAGGCCGG